rnacentral:lncRNA from 1 species
AUCGAUCGCCCAGGCGCAGCGUCUUUGUAAGAAAUCGUAUCUUUUCUGUGGACCUCAUGUAGCCCAAUUUGUUUUUCCUUCAUCAGAGCGCUGCUUUAUUGCUAUCCGUGCCCCAGUACUACGCAAAAGCUAGUAUUUAAAGUACCAUGAUCCCUCGCAGAAGUUUCGAACCGUUGGCUUAGCUUGGCAACUAUGGGUACGAAAUACAUGUCGCAGAUAACUCUGGAGUAUGUGCGGUCUUUGGCCCCCAGUCGGAAAGGUACGACCUAAUGUAUUAUUCAAACUGGUGUGCAGAUAUACAAAAGUACCACCUAGUGGCAUGUAAUGUUCGACUUUCGCUUGUGUAUGCCGCACAACCGAAGACGUUCCAGACCUAGCAGAUCGUGUUGGCGUUGGCAGCGCCAUAAAGCACUUGACUAAAGCAUGGCAUCGCACCUUGAGCGAUUGACAAUCUGUGCACGGCUUUGCAGACAUUCAAAACGGCCUUGGCGUGAUAUCACUGGCUGCAGUGUUAUAUGGAGG